rnacentral:rRNA from 1 species
GACGAACGCUGGCGGCGUGCUUAACACAUGCAAGUCGAACGAUGACGACCGAGCUUGCUCGGUCUGAUUAGUGGCGAACGGGUGAGUAACACGUGAGCAACCUGCCCUUCACUCUGGGAUAACCUCGGGAAAUCGGGGCUAAUACCGGAUAUGAGCUCCUGUCGCAUGGCGGGUGUUGGAAAGUUUCUCGGUGGAGGAUGGGCUCGCGGGCUAUCAGUUUGUUGGUGGGGUAGUGGCUUACCAAGGCGUUGACGGGUAGCCGGCCUGAGAGGGCGACCGGCCACACUGGGACUGAGACACGGCCCAGACUCCUACGGGAGGCAGCAGUGGGGAAUAUUGCACAAUGGGCGAAAGCCUGAUGCAGCGACGCCGCGUGAGGGAUGACGGCCUUCGGGUUGUAAACCUCUUUCAGCAGGGAAGAAGCGAAAGUGACGGUACCUGCAGAAGAAGCGCCGGCUAACUACGUG